AUCUUAGUCACCUUCUUCACCAGCAUCAUCACCGCCAUUGCUGAUCGCCGCCGAUCUCACAACCAUGGUCACCUCCGUCCCCCCUCCAACCCCAUGAUCCCUCAGCGCCCUCUGCGGGUGCUACAUCUCUACGCCCCCACCAUCAACGCCGUUCUCCCCGCUGCCAAACCCUCGAUCCUGAUCAUCUUCUUCAGCUAUCGAUUAAAGACUAAUUUCUAUCGAUUUCUCUUGGUUCACCAUGAGUGUCCUCCUUGGCAAGAGGUGAACCCCAGUAGAGAAGCAGCUGAUGUUGGAUCGAUCUAUAAAAAGAUACACAUAGACAAAGAGAGAGAGAGAGAAGUAGGGUUUGCCGGAGCAGGAGAAGAAGCUCAUCACUGAGAUCGAGAAAACGCAGAGGAAUUCUUGAAUUUUAGGGGAUUAGAUGGCAAUAGCAAUCUGACCAAGCUUUGGAGAAAUGCAUCAGCCUCAACUGAUAUGGGCAGUCUCACAUCACAUUGCUCUCCUUCAAAUCCAGGUGCAUGUUCUAAUGGUGUUGCAAUUGAGUCAAUAAAUUAUCCAAACUCUUCAAACAAACUCCAGGGUUCACGGUCCUGGAGAUGAUAUCGAUACUGUGUGUUCGACCUUCUUAUGUCAGUCGAGAGAAACAGACUAUGUUGGACUAGUUUUUUCUUUGAUUCAAAUUUCAAUGAAGAUUUUGUCGCGAGGAUAAUCA